ensembl:lncRNA
ACAGAACAGAGAUGGGGGGGGCGGAGGGAGUUUGCAGUGCUUGGCUGUCCUCCUGCAGACGUUGCCUGCUGCUGACCAGCCUGGGAUUUAUGGAGAGGGCCUCGUGGGGCAGCUCUGAAUACUGCCGGGCCCAACAUCACUGCCACACGUGCUGCUGAGGAGGCCCCUGUGCCUCUGGCCCUCACCAUUGCCCUCGCCCACCGAUGGCCCCUGCUGUCCGGCCCUGGGCCGCCUCUGCUGCCUGAGCCCCCGGGCCGUCUCCAGGACUCGCACUACCCAGAUGGGGUGUUUGCACAGUAUCUGUGUGGGGGCCGCGGAUUGACAACGCGGUUUCUGUCUGUCGGACAAGCACAGGGAUCUCAGUCUCCUCGGGCCUGGGGGGUGGAGGGGGCCUCCCCGGUGCGGCCCCCAGCCCCGUGCCGCCCCUCCCCGGGCCUUAC